AAAACUUUCAACAACGGAUCUCUUGGCUCUGGCAUCGAUGAAGAACGCAGCGAAAUGCGAUAAGUAAUGUGAAUUGCAGAAUUCAGUGAAUCAUCGAAUCUUUGAACGCACAUUGCGCCCCUUGGUAUUCCGGGGGGCAUGCCUGUUCGAGCGUCAUU
rnacentral:rRNA from 1 species